rnacentral:rRNA from 1 species
UACGUAGGGGGCAAGCGUUGUCCGGAAUCAUUGGGCGUAAAGGGCGCGUAGGCGGUCAUUUAAGUCAGUGGUGAAAACCCAGGGCUCAACCCUGGGAAUGCCAUUGAAACUGGGUGACUUGAGUGCAGGAGAGGUAAGUGGAAUUCCCAGUGUAGCAGUGAAAUGCGUAGAUAUUGGGAGGAACACCAGUGGCGAAGGCGACUUACUGGACUGUGUCUGACGCUGAGGCGCGAAAGCUAGGGGAGAGAACAGG